rnacentral:rRNA from 1 species
UACGUAGGGUGCGAGCGUUACUCGGAAUUACUGGGCGUAAAGCGUGCGUAGGUGGUUUGUUAAGUCUGUUGUGAAAGCCCCGGGCUCAACCUGGGAAUGGCAAUGGAUACUGGCAGGCUAGAGUGCGGUAGAGGGUAGUGGAAUUCCCGGUGUAGCGGUGAAAUGCGUAGAGAUCGGGAGGAACACCAGUGGCGAAGGCGGCUACCUGGACCAGCACUGACACUGAGGCACGAAAGCGUGGGGAGCAAACAGG